AUUGAAGCAAUAACCAUAGAUUCAUCAUCUUGUGAGGCAGUUAUCGUCUCCAUGCUAACUGGUUCACCACCCUCUUCCAGUUGAUGAGCAGGCGUUAGUGAUGGUGGAGGUGGAGGCACUGCAGCCACUGCCAGUGGAGGAGACGGCGGAAGCACCCAGAAAGGGUAAUAAAAAUUGGUACGAGCUCUUUCAAUGCCACUAAAGGAGAUAGAAGAUAGAUCGUAAGCUAUAGCAGCUUCUUCAGCAGUGUCAAAUGUGCCAAGCCAGUGUCUUUCUUUGGUAUAUGGAUUUCGAAUCUCCGCAGCAUACCUCCUCCAUGGCCGCCGGCGGACACCAAGGUAUCUGCUGGAUUGCCUGGAGCUCCUUCUUGGGUUCCUGUAAAGCAGUGAAGGGAGAUUCUCCAUGCUUGGUAUAUUGCUGUUGGCUUUUAGUGAGAUCUUCCUCCUUGUGGCCCCG
rnacentral:misc_RNA from 1 species